rnacentral:rRNA from 1 species
UGUUUCUUGACCUAUCAGCUUUCGACGGUAUGGUAUUGGCUUACCGUGGCAGUGACGGUUAACGGGGGAUUAGGGUUCGAUUCCGGAGAGGGAGCCUGAGAAACGGCUACCACAUCUAAGGAAGGCAGCAGGCGCGCAAAUUACCCAAUUCUAACAGCAUAAGAGAGGUAGUGACAAGAAAUAACAGUACAAGGCAGUUAAAAUGCUUUGUAAUUGGAAUGAUAGAAAUUCAAAUACUUUUUAAAGUAUCAAUUGGAGGGCAAGUCUGGUGCCAGCAGCCGCGGUAAUUCCAGCUCCAAUAGCGUAUAUUAAAAUUGUUGCAGUUAAAAAGCUCGUAGUUGAAUUUUUGUUGGAAAUAACCGGUCUGCUUUUAUUAAUAAAAGUGGUAUCUUGGUGUGUUUUUAGCAAUAAUGUCCUUUGAAAUGUUUUUUACUUUAUUGUAAAAAAUAAAUUUCAGGAUUUUUACUUUGAGAAAAUUAGAGUGUUUCAAGCAAGCUAACGUUUUGAAUACUGCAGCAUGGAAUAAUAAAAUAGGAUUUUAGUUCUACGUUAUUGGUUUUAAGAACUAAAUUAAUGAUUGAUAGAGGCAGUUGGGGGCAUUUGUAUUUAACUGUCAGAGGUGAAAUUUUGACCCNAAA